GGUAGUGGCAUAUAUCUAAAUGAGAAUUUUGAAGGCCGAAGAGGGGAAAUGCUCCAGUGAAUGACACCCAGUGAUGUUCCACGUGAGCUCCGAAAGGGAAUCGGGUCGAACUGGAAUGUGGCCAGUAAUGGCAACAUUAGGGAGUUCGAAGACGUCGUCUGGGGACACUAGAAGCGUUAUCUUUUCUGUUUAACAGCCUGACCAUCCUGGAAACGGCUUAGUUGUACUUAGGGUUGCAUUGUGUCCACUGCUCCCCAACGACCCUUGAAAAUCCGGAGGACCGAGUGGCGUCCACGUUUUGUUGUAUUUUAUAACUACAGAAGGUUUCCCAGGUGAACAAACUUACU
rnacentral:ncRNA from 1 species